rnacentral:rRNA from 1 species
ACGUCAAAUCAUCAUGCCCCUUAUGUCUAGGGCUACACACGUGCUACAAUGGUGAGGACAAAGAGACGCAAGACCGCGAGGUGGAGCAAAUCUCACAAACCUCAUCCCAGUUCGGAUUGCAGGCUGAAACUCGCCUGCCAUGAAGCCGGAGUUGCUAGUAAUCGCGAAUCAGCAUGUCCGAGGUCGAAUACGUUCCCGGGCCUU